rnacentral:rRNA from 1 species
CUACGUGCCAGCAGCCGCGGUAAUACGUAGGUGGCAAGCGUUGUCCGGAAUUAUUGGGCGUAAAGCGCGCGCAGGCGGAUUGGUCAGUCUGUCUUAAAAGUUCGGGGCUUAACCCCGUGAUGGGAUGGAAACUACCAAUCUAGAGUAUCGGAGAGGAAAGUGGAAUUCCUAGUGUAGCGGUGAAAUGCGUAGAUAUUAGGAAGAACACCAGUGGCGAAGGCGACUUUCUGGACGAAAACUGACGCUGAGGCGCGAAAGCCAGGGGAGCGAACAGGAUUAGAUACCCUGGUAGUCCACGCCGUAAACGAUGAGUGCUAGGUGUUAGACCCUUUCCGGGGUUUAGUGCCGCAGCUAACGCAUUAAGCACUCCGCCUGGGGAGUACGACCGCAAGGUUGAAACUCAAAGGAAUUGACGGGGGCCCGCACAAGCGGUGGAGCAUGUGGUUUAAUUCGAAGCAACGCGAAGAACCUUACCAGGUCUUGACAUCCCUCUGACCGCUCUAGAGAUAGAGUUUUC